rnacentral:rRNA from 1 species
AUUGAACGCUGGCGGCAGGCUUAACACAUGCAAGUCGAGCGGAUGAAGGGAGCUUGCUCCUGGAUUCAGCGGCGGACGGGUGAGUAAUGCCUAGGAAUCUGCCUGGUAGUGGGGGAUAACGUCCGGAAACGGGCGCUAAUACCGCAUACGUCCUGAGGGAGAAAGUGGGGGAUCUUCGGACCUCACGCUAUCAGAUGAGCCUAGGUCGGAUUAGCUAGUUGGUGGGGUAAAGGCCUACCAAGGCGACGAUCCGUAACUGGUCUGAGAGGAUGAUCAGUCACACUGGAACUGAGACACGGUCCAGACUCCUACGGGAGGCAGCAGUGGGGAAUAUUGGACAUUGGGCGAAAGCCUGAUCCAGCCAUGCCGCGUGUGUGAAGAAGGUCUUCGGAUUGUAAAGCACUUUAAGUUGGGAGGAAGGGCAGUAAGUUAAUACCUUGCUGUUUUGACGUUACCAACAGAAUAAGCACCGGCUAACUUCGUG